AGGAUUAACGCUGGCGGCGUGCCUAAUGCAUGCAAGUCGGACGCGCCCCAGCUUCGGUUGGGGUGGCGUGGCGGACGGGUGAGGAGCGCGUGGGCAACCUGCCCGGAGGUGGGGGGUAGCCACGGGAAACCGUGGGUAAUUCCGCAUGGGGUCGCUGAGCUGGUGGGCUCAGUGAGCAAAGGGCCUUCGGGUCUCGCCUUCGGAGGGGCCUGCGUCCGAUUAGCUAGUUGGGGGGGUAACGCCUCCGAAGGCGGUGAUCGGUAGCUGGUCUGAGAGGACGGCCAGCCACACGGGGACUGAGACACGGCCCCGACUCCUACGGGAGGCCAGCAGCAAGGAAUUUCCGCAAUGGGCAAAGCCUGACGGAGCAACGCCGCGUGCGGGAGGACGCCGUUUCGGGUGUAAGCCGCUUUUCUCGGGGACGACGACCGACGUACCCGAGGAAGAAGCCCGGCUAACUACGUGCCAGCAGCCCG
rnacentral:rRNA from 1 species